GAGUAAUGUCUGGGAAACUGCCUGAUGGAGGGGGAUAACUACUGGAAACGGUGGCUAAUACCGCAUAACGUCGCAAGACCAAAGAGGGGGACCUUCGGGCCUCUUGCCAUCAGAUGUGCCCAGAUGGGAUUAGCUUGUUGGUGAGGUAACGGCUCACCAAGGCGACGAUCCCUAGCUGGUCUGAGAGGAUGACCAGCCACACUGGAACUGAGACACGGUCCAGACUCCUACGGGAGGCAGCAGUGGGGAAUAUUGCACAAUGGGCGCAAGCCUGAUGCAGCCAUGCCGCGUGUAUGAAGAAGGCCUUCGGGUUGUAAAGUACUUUCAGCGGGGAGGAAGGUGUUGUGGUUAAUAACCGCAGCAAUUGACGUUACCCGCAGAAGAAGCACCGGCUAACUCCGUGCCAGCAGCCGCGGUAAUACGGAGGGUGCAAGCGUUAAUCGGAAUUACUGGGCGUAAAGCGCACGCAGGCGGUCUGUCAAGUCGGAUGUGAAAUCCCCGGGCUCAACCUGGGAACUGCAUUCGAAACUGGCAGGCUUGAGUCUUGUAGAGGGGGGUAGAAUUCCAGGUGUAGCGGUGAAAUGCGUAGAGAUCUGGAGGAAUACCGGUGGCGAAGGCGGCCCCCUGGACAAAGACUGACGCUCAGGUGCGAAAGCGUGGGGAGCAAACAGG
rnacentral:rRNA from 1 species